UGGGGAAUUUUGGACAAUGGGGGCAACCCUGAUCCAGCAAUGCCGCGUGCAGGAAGAAGGCCUUCUGGGUUGUAAACUGCUUUUGCCAGGGGAUAAAAAGUCCCUGCGGGGAAAAUUGAAGGUACCUGGUGAAUAAGCCACGGCUAACUACGUGCCAGCAGACGCGGUAAUACGUAGGUGGCAAGCGUUGUCCGGAUUUAUUGGGUUUAAAGGGUGCGUAGGCGGUCUUAUAAGUCAGUGGUGAAAUACGGCAGCUCAACUGUCGAGGUGCCAUUGAUACUGUAGGACUUGAGUACAGACGAGGUAGGCGGAAUUGACGGUGUAGCGGUGAAAUGCUUAGAUAUCGUCAAGAACACCGAUAGCGAAGGCAGCUUACUAGGCUGUAACUGACGCUGAGGCACGAAAGUGUGGGGAUCAAAC
rnacentral:rRNA from 1 species